AACCUAGCACACCUGCGGUGUGUACCUGCGGAGGGAUCAUUACAGAGUUGCAAAACUCCCCAAACCAUUGUGAACCUUACCUUCAAACGUUGCUUCGGCGGGCGGGCCACAGCGCCCCCCGGGCCCCCCCAGCGGGGGCGCCCGCCGGAGGAUACCCAAACUCUUGAUACUUUAUGGCCUCUCUGAGUCUUCUGUACUGAAUAAGUCAAAACUUUUAACAACGGAUCUCAGAUCGGAAGA
rnacentral:misc_RNA from 1 species